AAGUUAUCGUUUAUUUGAUAUUGCCUAUCCUACAUGGAUAACAGUGGUAAUUCUAGAGCUAAUACAUGCUGAAAAUCCCGACUUCGGAAGGGACGUAUUUAUUAGAAUCAGAACCAAUGCCCUUCGGGGCUUCUUGGUGACUCAUGAUAACUCCACAGAUCGCAUGGCCUUGCGCCGGCGAUGGCUCAUUCAAAUUUCUUCCCUAUCAACUUUCGACGGUACGGUAUUGGCCUACCGUGGUUGUAACGGGUGACGGAGGGUUAGGGCUCGACCCCGGAGAGGGAGCCUGAGAAACGGCUACCACAUCCAAGGAAGGCAGCAGGCGCGCAAAUUAUCCAAUCCCGACACGGGGAGAUAGUGACAAUAAAUACCGAUACAGGGCUCUUUUGGGCCCUGUAAUUGGAAUGAGUACAAUUUAAACCUCUUAACGAGGAACAAUUGGAGGGCAAGUCUGGUGCCAGCAGCCGCGGUAAUUCCAGCUCCAAUAGCGUAUAUUAAAGUUGUUGUGGUUAAAAAGCUCGUAGUCGAACCUCGAGCCUGGCCGGCCGGUCCGCCUCACCGCGUGCACUGGUCUGGCCGGGCUCUUCCCUCUGCGGAACCGCAUGUCCUUCACUGGGCGUGUCGGGGAGGCAGGACUUUUACUUUGAAAAAAUUAGAGUGCUCAAGGCAGGCCAAUGCUCGAAUACAUUAGCAUGGAAUAAUAGAAUAGGACGUUGGUUCUAUUUUGUUGGUUUCUAGGACCGCCGUAAUGAUCAAUAGGGACGGUCGGGGGCAUCAGUAUUCAGCCGUCAGAGGUGAAAUUCUUGGACCGGCUGAAGACUAACUACUGCGAAAGCAUUUGCCAAGGACGUUUUCGCUGAUCAGGAACGAAAGUUAGGGGAUCGAAGACGAUCAGAUACCGUCGUAGUCUUAACCAUAAACUAUGCCGACUAGGGAUCGGGCGGCGUUCUUUCUAGACCCGCUCGGCAC
rnacentral:rRNA from 1 species